CGUGCUAAUCUGCGAUAAGCGCCGGUAAGGUGAUAUGAACCGUUAUAACCGGCGAUACCCGAAUGGGGAAACCCAGUGUGAUUCGUCACACUAUCAUUAACUGAAUCCAUAGGUUAAUGAGGCGAACCGGGGGAACUGAAACAUCUAAGUACCCCGAGGAAAAGAAAUCAACCGAGAUUCCCCCAGUAGCGGCGAGCGAACGGGGAGGAGCCCAGAGCCUGAAUCAGCAUGUGUGUUAGUGGAAGCGUCUGGAAAGGCGCGCGAUACAGGGUGACAGCCCCGUACACAAAAGCGCAUGUGCUGUGAGCUCGAUGAGUAGGGCGGGACACGUGGUAUCCUGUCUGAAUAUGGGGGGACCAUCCUCCAAGGCUAAAUACUCCUGACUGACCGAUAGUGAACCAGUACCGUGAGGGAAAGGCGAAAAGAACCCCGGCGAGGGGAGUGAAAAAGAACCUGAAACCGUGUACGUACAAGCAGUGGGAGCACAGGUUUACCUGUGUGACUGCGUACCUUUUGUAUAAUGGGUCAGCGACUUAUAUUCUGUAGCAAGGUUAACCGAAUAGGGGAGCCGGAGGGAAACCGAGUCUUAAUUGGGCGUUAAGUUGCAGGGUAUAGACCCGAAACCCGGUGAUCUAGCCAUGGGCAGGUUGAAGGUUGGGUAACACUAACUGGAGGACCGAACCGACUAAUGUUGAAAAAUUAGCGGAUGACCUGUGGCUGGGGGUGAAAGGCCAAUCAAACCGGGAGAUAGCUGGUUCUCCCCGAAAGCUAUUUAGGUAGCGCCUCGUGAAUUCAUCUCCGGGGGUAGAGCACUGUUUCGGCUAGGGGGCCAUCCCGGCUUACCAACCCGAUGCAAACUGCGAAUACCGGAGAAUGUUAUCACGGGAGACACACGGCGGGUGCUAACGUCCGUCGUGAAGAGGGAAACAACCCAGACCGCCAGCUAAGGUCCCAAAGUCAUGGUUAAGUGGGAAACGAUGUGGGAAGGCCCAGACAGCCAGGAUGUUGGCUUAGAAGCAGCCAUCAUUUAAAGAAAGCGUAAUAGCUCACUGGUCGAGUCGGCCUGCGCGGAAGAUGUAACGGGGCUAAACCAUGCACCGAAGCUGCGGCAGCGAACGUAUCACUUAAAGCGAUUCAGCGGGUUACGAUUGACGGAGCGAAGCGACGUCAAAGCGUAUACAAAGUCGAGUCGGUUUAAGGAUACGUUCGUUGGGUAGGGGAGCGUUCUGUAAGCCUGUGAAGGUGGCCUGUGAGGGUUGCUGGAGGUAUCAGAAGUGCGAAUGCUGACAUAAGUAACGAUAAAGCGGGUGAAAAGCCCGCUCGCCGGAAGACCAAGGGUUCCUGUCCAACGUUAAUCGGGGCAGGGUGAGUCGACCCCUAAGGCGAGGCCGAAAGGCGUAGUCGAUGGGAAACAGGUUAAUAUUCCUGUACUU
rnacentral:rRNA from 1 species